rnacentral:rRNA from 1 species
AUGCGUUUGCAUAGACGUCUCACUUGGGAUGAAUUCACGGGUGCUGUGGUGACUGAAUUUGGGCAUGACGAGUAUGAUGUUCAGAUGACUAAGUUGCAGCAGUUACGGCAAACCACUUCUGUGAAUGAAUAUAAGGCCCAAUUUGAAGAGUGUAUGUAUCAUUUGCUUUCUCUGGAUCCAACCAUGAGCACUCGCUGGUUUGUCUCUCAGUUUGUCUUUGGAUUACGAGAUGAGCUUCGUGGACCUGUGAGAUUGCAGGCUCCUACUAGUGUUACCCGCGCUGCAGCUUUGGCAAAAAUUCAGGAAGAAGAAGUGGAACACAUACGACCCAGAAAUCGUCCAGCAGCUCCAACAAAACAUCCACCACAACCUGUAGCAGGUGUGGUGCAUACACCAGCUCUGGGACGAACAGAAUUGCCUCGCCGUCAGGGCAAUGAUGAUUUUAACAGGGAACGGCAGAUCCGUGAUUUUCGGCGCGCCAAUGGUAUUUGUUUUAAAUGUGGGGAUAAGUAUUCCAAAGAGCAUCAGUGUAAAAGAUCAGGUCAGCUACUCACUAUUGAAGUUGGAGAAUUUGGUGAAGUAUUAUCAGAUGAUGCAGUGGUUGCUCUGGAUCUCUUGGAAGAAACAACAAUACCUGCUACUUGCUAUCAUCUUUCUGUGCAUGCUCUCGCCGGAAUAGAAGCUUUGGAAACAGUUCGCAUUCGUGCUUUGGUGGGAAAUCAGGUGAUGCUCUUGCUUAUUGACUCUGGCAGCACACACACGUUUGUAAAUAAGAGCUUUGCAGAGCGUGCUGGUUGUACUAUUCAGUUCAGUCCUAUGAUCUGCCAUUGGCGUCAGAAAACAUUAACAUUCGAUUAUCUGGGAAAAUCUAUUACACUGCAGGGUGUCCUUUCUAAACCACAAGAGUCACUCCAGGAAAUGUCUGUGGAACAGCUAAAUAAGUGGAUUUCUGGGAAUGAGGUCUGGGCCAUGGCUAUGAUUGAUCCUAUACAGCAAACAACAAAAUCUGUACCCAACAUAGUGCAAUCAGAUAUGCAGUCUUUACUCGAGGAAUAUCAUGAUGUUUUUGAUCAGCCCACUACUUUGCCACCACAUCGUGCUUUGGAUCAUUCGAUCUCAUUAGAACCAGGAGCUCAUCCAACAAACAGUCGCCCCUACCGGUACUCUCCAUUGCAAAAGGACGAGAUCGAACGUCAGGUCUCGGAAAUGCUUGACAGAGGGGUGAUUCAGACAAGCAUGAGUCCGUUCGCGUCUCCGGUGCUGUUAGUUAAAAAGAAGGACGGCACUUGGCGAUUUUGUGUUGAUUAUCGUCGCUUGAAUUCCAUAACUUUGAAGAACAAGUUUCCCCUACCGGUCGUUGAUGAGUUGCUGGACGAAUUGGCUGGCACUAAAUUUUUCUCCAAGUUAGAUUUGCGCGCAGGAUACCAUCAAAUUCGCAUGAGGCCAGAGGAUGAAGAAAAGACAGCCUUUAAAACGCAUCACGGCCACUUUCAAUUCCGAGUGAUGCCAUUUGGAUUAACGAAUGCGCCAGCCACAUUUCAGUGCAUUAUGAAUCUCAUCUUUGCUAAAUACCUCCGCAAGUUUGUGAUAGUCUUCCUGGACGAUAUCUUGGUCUACAGUUCAUCUUGGGCAGAGCAUUUAGAGCAUCUGCGUCUGGUAUUCGAAACACUUCGUCAGGCUCAAUUCUUUGCUAAGUUAUCCAAGUGUUCUUUUGGGCAGAACAGUAUUCAGUAUCUUGGCCAUAUUAUCUCUGAUUCCGGUGUUGCAACCGAUCCCGAGAAAACAGUGGUGAUGGAACAGUGGCCAAUUCCUAAGACAACAACUGAACUACGAGGAUUCCUUGGCCUAACAGGUUAUUACCGUAAAUUUGUUAAACAUUAUAGUCUGAUUGCUAAACCACUGUCCCAACUUCUGACCGAAAAGGGUUUCUACUAG